AUUGAACGCUGGCGGCAGGCCUAACACAUGCAAGUCGAACGAGUGGCGGACGGGUGAGUAAUGUCUGGGAAACUGCCUGAUGGAGGGGGAUAACUACUGGAACCGGUGGCUAAUACCGCAUACCAUCAGAUGUGCCCAGAUGGGAUUAGCUAGUAGGUGGGGUAAAGGCUAAGAUGGGCGACGAUCCCGAGCUGGACUGAGAGGAUGACCAGCCACACUGGAACUGGGAGACGGGCCAGACUCCUACGGGAGGCAGCAUUGGGGAAUAUUGCACAAUGGGCGAAAGCCUGAUGCAGCCAGGCCGCGUGGGGGAAGAAGGCCUUCGGGUUGUAAAGCACUUUCUGCGAGGAGGCGUUACUCGCACAAGAAGCACCGGCUAACUCCGUGCCAGCAGCCGCGGUAAUAC
rnacentral:rRNA from 1 species